UUAGAUUUGAGAAGGGUCAGUGCUAUCCGGGAUCAUUGGGAAGUCCCUACAUCAUUGAAGUGGACAUUUAAAACGGUUAAUGGUAAGGUUAAGGUGAGGGUUUAGUGUAGGGACGUCCCAAGGACCCCGGAUAGCAUUGGCCGUUUGAGAAGUGCGCUCCUCUCACUGCUUUUGCCGGUUCACUGUAACGGGCCAUAGACCUGUGCACCGCAUAUCAGGUUAAUAGAACGGCCUCAAAAGCGAUUAAGGAAAGUUUCCAACCGUGUCACGGCGGUCAAAGCACCUAUUUCCCCUAAAACCUUUGUCGCGUUAAAAAAAAAAAAGGCAAUUCGGAUGCAUCCGUCUUCAGUGCGUCCACGACAACUGGGAACUCGGAAAGAAAUAGCUCCGACUGAGUAAAAUCGUUUUGAACGGUCAUCCAAAGAAAAUCACUGACGUCAUGAUUUGACCACGUUUUGUACGAGUUACCAGUUGACUUGAAAGCACCAUACAUUCUCGGAGCUACACUAGAGGACACGGUUAUCGGUAAUAUUACAGCAACAAAGCCAUCCGGACGCGUGGAGGCAAACUGAGAAUGACUACCACAUGAGCGAGAAUACCGGGGAGAGGCUCAUUUAACGGUAUUUCUCCGGUAUAGGCUAAGCGGUAGAGUCUACAGACAAAAAUAGAAGACAAUAUGAUAAGCAGAUCAUCUUUUGCUGACUCGAAUAUUCUACACACUGUCAGUCAACAACAAUAGAAUGUAGUUUUAUAUGUCCUAUUCUCUUCACGUUUCCUGCUAUUGUUCAGUAACAACGAUACUACUGCUGCUGACUCGUCCUCUGGCUUUGCAGCAUCCAAAGCAGAUCACUCAGGGGAUGAGGGCUCUUUGGCGCAGUCCGUGAGAGAUGAGGUGAAAGCUGGAUUAGUUAAAUAAGGACCCUCGGUAAAUCUUACGGAGAAACAGGGGACAGUAGCGGGGCUAACCUCUGCGGACAAACCGGAGGAGGACAGUGAAUGCCGAUUCGUGGGGAAGAUAACGGAUCCGGUGGCAGCGGACAGGAGGACAGUUUGGGAGGAGGGGAUCCACGCUGCUGAAGUUAGGAUCCACGCUGGCGCGCACGAGGAAAAUGUGAAAUCUGGCAUGUCUGGCCAACAGUGCUGUAACUCAAAUCCUGCCUCAGCGCCGGUGGACAUUCCAUGAAGUGACUUUGGUCACCUACAGUUCCCUGAGGGGUGGUCUUUUCUCUUAGCAGAUAUGGAAGAAGUGGACGCAGAAUAUGCGCCCAUGAAAUACGCCCCCAGGAUGCUGCGGACCAGACAGAUGGAGAUGAUGAAGAGCUGGAGAAGGAACAGAGGGUAGAGUUCACCACUGACUUUACCUCUCUGUAAGCCGAUCGGACAGACAGACAGACAUGCAGGCAGACAGGGGUUGUAGUAAAAGCAUGGUGAGGGCAGCAGAGUGGACACUCAGAUUCGUAAACCUUUGUGAUUUUCCCAGGGUGCAACGGGAGCAGCUGGCAGCCAUCUUCCAGCUGCUGAAGGAGAACCAGGAGAUGUUUGGGGAGAUGUCAGAGGGAGACAUGGAGGAGCAACUCUACUCCAUCUAAACCCCUAGUCUACUCACAGUCGACUGUACUACGUCUAACUCUACUUUUCCCAAACUCUACUCUAUGUUAAUCCCACAUAAAACUGACAAUCAAGACCAAGGUGCAUUCACACGGUCCACUGGGUUUCAAAGGGGGUGUUGUUUCAAAGGUCCACUCUAUUUUGAGGCACAUACUCUUCUCUAAAGAUUCUGAGGUGAUAGCUAAUCAGGCUUUGGAUAGUUGGGCCUGAGUGAUUUGAUUGGUCUGGUAAAAUCUGAGGUUCUUAUACCGUAGACACCCAUGAAAGCCAACAGUUUCAGCAAGCCUCACAUCAAACACUUAUCUGGACAGAUCUUACUCCUUUCAGCUAUUCCUUGCCUUGCCUCGGCCGUAUCCUUAUCUCACCCUUUCCUAUGGAGCACCCUUUCCCUCUAGACCCCUCUGUUUGAACAAACACAUCAUUGGUGCGAACACAAACAUGUACGUUAGAUACUUCAACACGGC
rnacentral:lncRNA from 1 species